rnacentral:rRNA from 1 species
GAUUUCUGGUGUUUUACUCUUAGUCCACCACGGUUACGUGUGUGAGUACCUAGAUGUAUUCACCAUCCUUCUAGUUAUAAUAAUUAGUUUUUAGCUCUUAAUUGAGUUAGGAUUAAUUAUGUCUAGAUCUUUUACUUUGAAAAAAUUAGAGUGUUUAAAGCAGGCUUUUGCUAUGAAUACAUUAGCAUGGAAUAAUAAUUUAGGACUUUGUUUCUAUUUUGUUGGUUUCUAGGAAUGAAGUAAUGAUUGAUAGGGAUAGUUGGGGGUGCUAGUAUUCAGUGGCCAGAGGUGAAAUUCUCGGAUUCACUGAAGACUAACUUAUGCGAAAGCAUU